rnacentral:lncRNA from 1 species
GUAUUUAUAGUUGAGAAAUGGGAAAUUGUGUAAUUAUAUAAAGUUUAGGGUUAAAUUAAAGUUUGGGGGCCAAAUGGCUAUUUUUUAAAAUUCCAAAUGGCUAAUUUUGAAAAAGAGCCGUUUGGAAAUUAUUAAAAGGAAAAAAAGAAAUUUAAUUCUGCCCGUUACUGGAACCGUUUGGAACCGGUUGGAAUCGUUUGGAACCGCUUGAACCCAGUGUUUUUGAUAGCGCGCGGCGACAAAUAGCGACGAGGGCUCGCUUCAGUGAGGCGAGAGGCGCAGUGAAGCGCUCGCCUUUUUGAUGUGAGGCGACAAUUUAUAAAAAAAAAUAAUAUAUAUAUAUAUAUAAAACUAAAAACUCAAUAACAAUAAUAUGUUAAUAAAUUAAAGAGUACUAAUAGUCUAAACUCUAAAAUAAGCAACAUUUAUUCUUCUUCAAGAUUUCCAAAUUCCACAAGAUCAUUGUUGAUAGCAUUAUAUUGGCUAUCAUCUUCUUCAUCCUCUGAAACUUCAUCAAUUAGGGUGGUGGACCGGCUUGAACUUGCUACCCCUUUUCCCUUGUAUGUUGAACUUGAAGAACUCGCUCUAAGUUGUUGUCAUCUUCUUCGUCCUCGGACACUUCAUCAAUUAGGGUAGUGGACCGGCUUGAAGUUGCUACCCCCUUUCCCUUGUACGUUGAACUUGAAGAACUCGCUCUAAGUCCAUAGAUGUUCU